rnacentral:rRNA from 1 species
GACAGAGGAUGCAAGCGUUAUCCGGAAUGAUUGGGCGUAAAGCGUCUGUAGGUGGCUUUUUAAGUCCGCCGUCAAAUCCCAGGGCUCAACCCUGGACAGGCGGUGGAAACUACCAAGCUGGAGUACGGUAGGGGCAGAGGGAAUUUCCGGUGGAGCGGUGAAAUGCGUAGAUAUCGGGAAGGAACACCCGUGGCGAAGGCGGCCAGCUGGGAUACACCUGACGCUGAAGACACGAAGGCGUUGGGGAGCGAACGG